CCUUCCUACGGGAGGCAGCAGUAAGGAAUAUUGGUCAAUGGGGGCAACCCUGAACCAGCCAUGCCGCGUGCAGGAAGACGGCCCUACGGGUUGUAAACUGCUUUUAUACCGGAAUAAACCUCUUUACGUGUAAAGAGUUGAAUGUACGGUAAGAAUAAGGAUCGGCUAACUCCGUGCCAGCAGCCGCGGUAAUAAGGGCGAUCCC
rnacentral:rRNA from 1 species